rnacentral:piRNA from 1 species
GUGUAGAUUGUUGCCAGCACAGA